GACGAACGCUGGCGGCGUGCCUAAUACAUGCAAGUAGAACGCUGAAGGAGGAGCUUGCUUCUCUGGAUGAGUUGCGAACGGGUGAGUAACGCGUAGGUAACCUGCCUGGUAGCGGGGGAUAACUAUUGGAAACGAUAGCUAAUACCGCAUAACAGUAGAUAUCGCAUGAUAUCUACUUGAAAGGUGCAAUUGCAUCACUACCAGAUGGACCUGCGUUGUAUUAGCUAGUUGGUGAGGUAACGGCUCACCAAGGCGACGAUACAUAGCCGACCUGAGAGGGUGAUCGGCCACACUGGGACUGAGACACGGCCCAGACUCCUACGGGAGGCAGCAGUAGGGAAUCUUCGGCAAUGGACGGAAGUCUGACCGAGCAACGCCGCGUGAGUGAAGAAGGUUUUCGGAUCGUAAAGCUCGGUUGUAAGAGAAGAACGAGUGUGAGAGUGGAAAGUUCACACUGUGACGGUAGCUUACCAGAAAGGGACGGCUAACUACGUG
rnacentral:rRNA from 1 species